UACGUAGGGUGCAAGCGUUGUCCGGAAUUAUUGGGCGUAAAGAGCUCGUAGGCGGUUUGUCGCGUCUGCUGUGAAAAACCCGAGGCUCAACCUCGGGCCUGCAGUGGGUACGGGCGAGACUAGAGUGCGGUAGGGGAGAUUGGAAUUCCUGGUGUAGCGGUGGAAUGCGCAGAUAUCAGGAGGAACACCAAUGGCGAAGGCAGAUCUCUGGGCCGUAACUGACGCUGAGGAGCGAAAGCAUGGGGAGCGAACAGGGA
rnacentral:rRNA from 1 species